UACGAGGGGGGCAAAUGUUGUUCGGAAUCACUGGGCGUAAAGGGAGCGUAGGCGGGGUUUCUAAGUCAGGUGUUUAAUCCCGGGGCCCAACCCCGGACAGGCACUGAAACUGGGAAUCUUGAAUAGGGGAGAGGUCAGUGGAAUUGGAGGUGUAGCGGUGGAAUGCGUAGAGAUCUCCAAGAACACCAGUUGCGAAGGCGGCUGACUGGACCCAUAUUGACGCUGAGGCUCGAAAGCAUGGGGAGCAAACAGGG
rnacentral:rRNA from 1 species